CUUAUUGUUCGCUGCUCGUGAAGCAGUGCAAGAGUCCCUAGGCUUUAGUCCUGCAGAGCUUGUAUUUGGACAUGAAGUUAGAGGACCAUUGCAUAUCCUUAAAGAACAGCUAGUUGUUCCAACUAAAAAAACUGAAGCGCAUCCCUGAGUAUGUGGCUAAAAUUAGAGAGCGCCUUAAAUCGGCUUGCGCUAUUGCCAGGGACACCUUAACUGCUAGGCAGGUAAGGAUGAAAAAGCACUAUGAUCGGAGAGCUGUUGCUCGCCAGUUCAAACCUGGUGAUCAGGUUCUAGUUUUGCUCCCCAUUCUGGGCUCUUCUCUGAGAACAAAGUUUUCUGGACCAUAUGUGGUGGAAAAGAAACUUAGUGAGACCAAUUAUGUUGUUCAAACACCUGAUCGUCGUCGUAAGACCAGAGUAUGCCACGUUAACAUGAUGAAACAUUAUCUUUCUAGAGAGAAUGAAGAUGGUCCCCUCACUCCGCACAAGGUUGCGUCUAGCUCUCCUGUAGCAUGCGUAACUUCAGAGAUAGCCAAUGAAAGCAGUGAGGAGGAUGUGGUCCUGGGCAAAGAUGUGUCACAGGGUACGAGACUCAGUAAAAGUGAGAUUUUGUCUGACUUGCCCCACUAUUUGUCUCACCUGUCACUUGAUCAGGCUGAAGACAUUCAGAACCUGAUUUUGUCUUUCCGGUGUAUGUUUGGGGAUAUUCCUACCCAGACGAGUUUGAUAUCCCAUGACAUUGUUCUUACCAAUCCUGCACCAAUUAAACAACGUGCAUAUAGAGUCAAUCCUAUCAAAAGAGAGGUUAUGCAAAAGGAAGUAGAAUAUCUAAUUAGGAAUGGACUUGCCAUACCCAGUUGUAGCCCCUGGAGUUCCCCAUGUUUGUUGGACAUUAAAGCUGAUGGCAGUCCACGGUUCUGUACGGACUUCCGCAAAGUGAAUGCUGUGACAGUUCCUGACGCAUACCCCUUGCCCCUCAUCGAUGAUUGCAUUGAUGACAUCGGACCUGCCACAUUUAUCACUAAACUGGAUAUGUUAAAAGGUUACUGGCAGAUUCCUUUAACCAAAAGGGCAUCAGAGAUAUCUGCUUUUGUAACUCCGGACAGUUUCCUCCAGUACACAGUCAUGCCAUUUGGGUUAUGUAAUGCACCAGCUACAUUUCAGAGGCUGGUGAACAAAGUACUGGGUGAUGUUCCAAACUGUCGGGUGUAUCUAGAUGACAUUGUUGUGUAUUCCAGUGAAUGGGCAGAGCAUCUUGCUACCUUGUCAGCUGUAUUUGAACGCCUCUCAGCUGCCUCGCUGACUUUGAAUCUUGCCAAGUGUGAGUUUGGUAAAAGCACCAUUCUCUAUCUAGGCCAACAAGUUGGCGGAGGAAAGGUAUGCCCAGUGGAUGCCAAGAUCCGUGCCAUUUCGACCUUUCCAGUUCCAUCUACAAGAAGGGAGCUACGUCGUUUUCUUGGAAUGGCCGGAUAUUAUCGCCGGUUCUGUAAGAACUUCUCAACAGUAGCUGCCCCGUUGACUGCCUUGACCAGUCCCUCAGUUCCAUUUUUCUGGUCUGAUGAAUGCCAACAUGCCUUUGAGAAUCUUAAAGGAUUGCUUACAUGUUCACCUGUUCUCUCCGCCCCAGACUUCAGCCGACCAUUCAAGUUGGAGGUCGAUGCUAGCGCCGUUGGGGUAGGUGCUGUCCUUCUACAGGAAGAGCAGGAUGGACUCGAUCACCCUGUGUGCUACUUCUCAAAGAAGUUCACUCUUCCUCAGAGAAGGUAUUCCACAAUCGAACAAGAAACUCUUGCCGUUCUGUUGGCUUUGCAACAUUUUGAGGUUUAUCUUGGAUUAAGUGUAGAACCCAUAAAAGUCUUUACAGACCACAAUCCGCUUGUUUUCCUUUCAAGGAUGUACAAUAACAACCGUCGGCUUAUGAGGUGGUCUUUAAUCAUCCAAGAGUAUAACCUUCAGAUCUGCCAUAAAAAAAGGGACAGAAAAUGUCCUGGCUGAUGCACUAUCCCGUGCCCUGUAGUCUGUUUAGGGUUUUUGUUUGUGUUUGAAGGAUCCAAACUUUUUGUUUGGACUUGUAAGGGUGGGGGUGUUACGUGUCUGCAGGCUGCAUGUUUUCUUUCCCUCUCCUUUUGUUUGCUAAUCCCUUAGGUCGCAGACUGCAGGCUGAUGUCAAUCUGGGGAUGUCCAACUAAUUAGAGGAGGGAGACCCUGAUUGGACAAACCAGGAGUGCACACCUUGAUAAGGAGACUCACCUGUGGCUGGGCGCGGCCUCUCUUCCCUCCUUUGAAAUGUUUGUCUCAUGUGUAAAGCUCCUCUGCUGUGUUUCUUUUGUUUGAUGGUUGUGGUGGGAGUAAAAGUGGACUAGUUCUCUCCAGAUCCAUCUCCUGUCAUGCUUAUCAGCAGUGCUGGUUCCGUUUCCACCCUAGUUCUCUUGUCUUCCUGCAAAUUAAGGAUUCCACACCCACCUGCUCUUUGGCCGGCCUGCCCUCUGUGUCAACGGUGGAUCUCUUCCCCCUCUGGACCCCUAGAAGUUCCCGCCUGUGGUUUCCUUGUGUUCUGCGUGCCCGAACGAUUCUCCAUCCCCUGGUUUCCAACAGCACCUGUUCAUAGUUUCAGUUAAUAUUCAUGCUCUUGUUUAAGAUGAUUAUUUAUGUGAAUAAAUCAUGUAAAUAGUU